rnacentral:rRNA from 1 species
CACGUAGGGGGGCAAGCGUUGUCCGGAAUCAUUGGGCGUAAAGAGCGUGUAGGCGGCUCGGUAAGUCCGCUGUGAAAGUCCAGGGCUCAACCCUGGAAUGCCGGUGGAAACUGUCGAGCUAGAGUCCGGAAGAGGCGAGUGGAAUUCCUGGUGUAGCGGUGAAAUGCGCAGAUAUCAGGAGGAACACCAAUGGCGAAGGCAGCUCGCUGGGACGGUACUGACGCUGAGACGCGAAAGCGUGGGGAGCAAACAGG